rnacentral:rRNA from 1 species
GAGAGAGACAUGCGCGCAUAUCAAUAAGCGGAGGAAAAGAAACUAACAAGGAUUCCCUUAGUAACGGCGAGUGAAGCGGGAAGAGCUCAAAUUUGAAAUCUUCAAGGUUUUACCUUGACGAAUCGUAGUUUAAAGAAGUGUUUUCUGCUGAAGUUUUGGUAAAGGUUCUUUGGAAUAGGACAUCAUAGAGGGUGAGAAUCCCGUAUUUGACCAUUAUUUUCAGCUUUGUGAUACACUUUCAAAGAGUCGGAUUGUUUGGGAAUGCAGUCCAAAAUGGGUGGUAAAUUUCAUCUAAAGCUAAAUAUUGGCGAGAGACCGAUAGCGAACAAGUACCGUGAGGGAAAGAUGAAAAGAACUUCGAAAAGAGAGUUAAACAGUACGUGAAAUUGUCAAAAGGGAAGCGUUUGACACCAGUGUUGUUUUCUCGAAAAUCAAUUAAAAAUGGCUAGGAUUUUGUAUUGUUGAUUGACCUUUAUCAAGCUUCACUGCUACAUCUUUUCGUGUCUUUUUUAAUGCACUUUUCGUUUAACAAGUCAACAUCAGUUUCUUUUGUUGUAAAAGGGUCAUUGGAAGGUGGCUUUCUUUUCGGAGAAAGUGUUUAUAGCCUUUGGCCUCUGUAAUCGGAGAGAUUGAGGUCUGCAGCGUAGACUCUUCGGGGUUAGAUACAUUUGUGCUAAGUUAUAGCUUUUUAUAGACAACUUGUUGACUAUAAUUAGUCUUGUAGCUUACUCGCUUAUGCUAUUUUACCUACGCUUAGGAUGUUGAGUCGUAGAGCACGCAG